UAUAUAUAUACACCUUUACCACUUAUUCAUUUUAGGUCAUGACUAUGAACAUGAAGCAAAUGUUAGUGCCAAAUAGGUUGCGUAUCGGUCGGUUCGAUUUUGAAGUAUAUCGGUUUGACUUAUUGGUUAUCGGUUUGUAGAGAUGCAAAACCGUUAUAGAACCAUUAAGAUAUUGGCUUAUCGGUUAUUGGUUUAUCGGUUAUUGAUCGUUAUCGGUUCGGUUAUCGAUUUAACCGUUAAGAUUUGACACAAAAAUAAAUUAAUAAAACAUCACUUAGAAACAAGGUGACAAAUUGAAUGAAUCAUGUACAUGAGUUCAUUAGUUGCAUCUUGCUCAAAAGCAAACACUUUUACAUUGUAGAAUAACCAAGAUUAUGAGAUAGCCAAAAAUAAAAGUAGGAAACUAAACUCUAAGUCAAGGACUUUAUAUACAAAAUGGUAUGAAUAUAAUUAUUUAAUUUACUAUCGGGUUAUUGGUUAACCCAUUAAGAAAAACCUCAAACCGUUAAGAGCCAAUAACCCAAUAACAAAAAAAAUCAAAACCGUUAUCUAAACCGCUAAACCAAUAACCCAUUACCGCUAAACCAAUAACUUUUUUUCGGUUCAGGUUAUCGGUUUCGGUUCGGUUUUGAACCGCCCUAGUGCCAAAUGUGAAUUUGAAUUCUGGUCAUGAAAUGCCUCUUAUAGGGAUGGGAACAGCACCUUCCUUACCACAACAUGAUGAAUUAGUGUCAACACUCAUAGAUGCCAUUGAAAUUGGUUAUCGUCACUUUGACACAGCCGCUGUCUAUGGCUCCGAGGAAGCACUUGGCCAAGCAGUGGGGGAAACGCUACAACGCGGACUCAUUAAGAGUCGUGAACAAGUGUUUAUUACGUCUAAAUUAUGGUGCACGGAAACUCAUCGUGACCUUGUUCUUCCUGUCUUAAAAAGAACUCUUGGGUACGUAAAUACUUUUGUUUUUUUUUCUUGUUGUUGGUUGAAAAUCAAUGGUCUAUUUGUGAUAUACUCCCCUUGUUCUAAUUUUUAGUUUUUCACUUUAUUUUUUGUCUUAAAAAGUGUUUUUCUUAUGUUUAGCAAGUUUUUCAGUUUCAAUAUUUAAGUUUAAGAUCAUGAGAUUUAAAGGAGUAUAUACAUCUUUAAUUUAAUUUAAAACAAACAAAAUUUGAAAGUCUAUCUUUAUUUUUAAAAUUUCGUGUCUAGUCAAAUUAAGACAAUUAAAUUGAGACGAAAGGAGUAAAUUAAAUGCUCAUAUCAUAGUUCAGAAGAUUAUGGUGUUAUCAUUAUUGUUUUCUAUUGUAUUAUUACUAUUAUUUUUUUAAAAUAAUAUUGGGCUGAAAUACCACUACAACAUAUUUAGUGAAAAUCAUUAAGUGGGAUCUUGAAAGGGUAAAAUGUAUGCAAACCUUAUCAUAUCUUGGCGAGGUAAAAAGACUAUUUUCGAAAGAUUCUUGGCUCAAGUGCACCAAACUCAAGUAAAACUAGAAGAAAAUGUAUAACAAUAAUACAAUAAGCAGUACUGUAGAACCUACAAGAAAGAAACUAUAUAUAUCAGCAACAAAGUAGUGUGAUAAUCGAAACAACGAUCUAUAGAUAACUAAAACAAGACAAUAAAAUACUCUGCCUCUACUAAUUAACCUUCUACCCUUAUACACGACAUUUACUCCUUCCUAUUUUAGAGUCAUGUCCUCAAUAAUAUUGUUAAAGAAUAACAAAAGUCUCAUAUUGGUGGUUAAUGAGAUGUGUGGACUCCUUAUAAGGCUUGGGAAAAUCCUCCUCCCUUUGAGCUAGCUUUUGAGGUGUGAGUUAGGCCUAAGACCUAAUUUAACAUGGUAUCAGAGUAGGGCUCAUCUCACCCAAUGUUUGGCCCCCAAAAAAACAAAUUUGUCCACGCACUGGGCGUGAGGUGGGGUGUUAAAGAAUGACAAAUGUCUCACAUUAAUGAUUAGUGAAAUGGGUGGAGUCCUUAUAAUAUAAGGCUUGGGCAAUUCUCCUCCCUUUGAGAUAUUUGGGGUGUGAGUUAGGUCUAAGACCUAACAAAUAUGAAGUUGCGUUAUGUCAUGUAUAAUCACCUCUCCCAAUACAUUUUUUGCAUACCUCUACCCCUCUGUGUACCCUGUACAACCAACCUCUUGUACCUCCUCACUGAGGCAUCUAUGAACCUCCUUUUCAUAUUCCCAAACCAUGUCAGUCUUACUUCCCUUAAUUAUUUUAUCUGUCAUAGAGGCAAUUCUCACCUUUUUCCCGGAUAACCUCAUUUCUUAUUUUGUCACUUGCUCUUAGUACAACAUAGACUGAUAUGGAUAGUGAUGAUUCAUAUAUUACUUAAAAACCUACUAGUUUGGAGUUAAAACAUAAUUAUUGUUUUUGGUGAAACUCGACAGAUAAGUACAUGAUGUGAUUAAUUAUAAAGUCAAUAAUGAAUCUUAAUCCUAUUAAUUGUAAUUUGUAGGAGGCUGAAGAUGGAUUACUUGGAUUUAUACCUAAUACAUUUGCCAGUGACAAUGAAGAAGAAGGUAAUAAGUUUAUUCUUCUACUUACUUUUUGUGUUUGGUAAAUAAACCGAAAAUAUUAUCUGAAAACAUGCAUUAAUUUAUAAGUUGACUCAGUAGGAAAGUCAUUUUUUCGAAAUUUUAACUAAACAAACAUGAAAUUUAAAAAUACUUUUUGAAGAAUAUUUUUCCUCUAUAUCAAACACGCUCUUAGUUAUAAAUCACUAGUACGUAGUACUUUAUCCAUUUUAAUUUGUUUAAUCUAUAGCAUUAAGAAUAUUAUGUGAAAAGUUGAAAUUAAAAAAUUGCUAGAAAAAAAUAGCUAUAAUCCAUAUAAAAAGAAAAACAGGUCACAUAAAUUGAAUACUCCUAAUAUUUUACAGGUGGAAAUGCAUGUUGCAUGGAGGCAAGAGAAGAUGUUAGAGUAUUGCAAGGAAAAAGGAAUACAUGUGAGUGCAUGGUCUCCACUUGGAGGUAAUGGGAUAACUCCUUGGGGCACCCAUGCGUUGCUCAGGUGAAAAUGCAUUGAUAACAUCCCUAAAUUCGGUAUAAAUUAUUAGUUUCAUUUUUGAAUUAUAUUAUUGAUAGCUUUAAAAAUAUCUUUUUACUUGAUUAACUAAAUUUUAAUACAUCCCUGAUCUUAUAACAUGAGUGAAAUACAUCCCUAAAUUCUCGCAAAGUUUCGAGGUGUUAUCAACACUUCUGUUGGCAUUAUAUUAAGAGUUGUGUGCUACUAGAAGAGUUUGAGACUACUUGCUAUGUCAUAUAACAGAUUUGGGGUGUAUAUGAGUUUAGUUAGUCAAGUAGAGGGAUAUUUUUAAGACUGUCAAUAAUUCUGGAAUGAAAUUAAUAAUUUGUGCAAAGUUUAGAAGUGUUCAAUACUUCUCUCCUUAUUAUUUGGUCAUAUAUACUCACACAUUGAGAUUAAUUCCAAGAAAAUCUUUACACAAUAUAUUGACUUUAUCUAAUUAGCCUAUGUUACAAAUAUUUAUAGGUGGCAUUAAGAUGGGUAUAUGAGCAAGGAGCUAGCGCAAUAGUGAAGAGUUUCAACAAGGACAGGAUGAAAGAGAACCUACAAAUUUUGGAUUGGGAACUAAGUAAUGAAGAAAUAGCUCAAAUUCAAGAGAUUCCUCCUUGCACCGGAUUCAAAGUUGACAUGGUUUUAGUUCAUCCAAAUGGACCAUACAAAUCUGCCCAUCAAUUCUGGGAUGGCGAGCUAUAGAAGUCAUAAUAUUACUUUUGUUUUUUGGUAAACAAGAUAAUUAUAUUAAUAAUCAUUACAUGGCAGAGCGGUGGAACUACUUCUUAGUAUGCGGGUAGGGGGUGAUUACUAUAUAUAUUACAAGUUUUUUUUUUUUUUUUGCAGUAGAAGACUUGAUUAGUAUAACAAAAAGAGUUCCUUCCUUAUUUACUUUCAACUUCACUGCCACAAACAAAGGUGGAACUGCCCAGUUCACAAAAGAUAUAGUUGCUGAUAAGUUAGACCCCUCUUUAGCUAACGCAUCUGCCACUUGAUUUUCCCCCAGAAUCUAUGCUGAAUUUGGGGGUGGGGGGAGGGGUGUUCCCCAAUUGAUGAAGUAGCGCCCAUUAGAUUAGAUGUUAAAGUAAGAUGGAUGAUCAUUUUUCUUUGCAGUCUAUAUCAAUCUGGAUUGGGAUCAAAUUAUCCUUUCGAGCAAUAGUCACCCCUUGUAGUAGUGCACAAAGUUCUGUUUGAAUUGUUGUUUGUCCCCUGUUAUCCAGUUGCCUUCCAAGUCUCUGAUGACUCCACCUUUAACGUUAUUUGUGUUGAUUGAACCGUCAAUGUUCAAUUUAAACCCUAUAUUGGGUGGUUUCCAUUUGAAAAAGGUUCCUUUGUAUUUUUGUUAUUGUUUUUUCCUUCUAGUGAGAGCAAAGUAUUUAGCAGCAUGCAACAUGUAGAGGUUUUGUUAUGUUAAUCGGUGUGUUUCGUUUAUUAUGAUAAUUAUCAUUCCUUACCAACCAUAUAUUCCAUAGGAAGAAAGGGAAGGCAUCCUAUCAGUUGGGGUAAUAUUUAAGUUUGAUUUUAAGAUUCUGAAGUUACUCCAACCAUUCGCAGUUGUGCAUGUUUUUGAGAAUCUAGAUUUCAUGUUCCACUCUUAAUGUAUGCCAUAGGUUCCUUACUUUGGUACAUUCUCGGAAGAUAUGUAUAAUGGUUGCAGGGCAGUUACAAAAAAUUACAACAAUUUUUAUUCAUAUUGAUUCCAAUGAGUUUAGGUAGUUGCAUGUGGGUAGCCGUCCAUGUUCACAUUGCCAGAUAAAGUAUUUUAGUUUGUUUGGGCACUGAAGAUUUCAGAUCCAAUUGAAAUUGAGUUUGUUAGAGAUGAUAUAGUUUUGUUUGUUUCAAAGGAAGUGGUAGACAAAUAAAGCUCGUAGAUAGGGUGGAAACCAGCUAAUUUUAUCAUGAGUCUGCUCAAUUUGGGGAAUAUAUAUAUAGGUACUGUGAAUGAGGCUGACAAUGUCGUCUAGGAGGCUAAAAUAAAUUUUCUCUAGAUUCCAUUGCCCGUUAGUAGAUAGACUUUCAAAUUUAUUUCCUCCUUUAAUUUGUUAUAUAUGGUCCAAUUAUACACUCCAUUAACGUAGAAUUACUAGGUAACCAUCAAUCAAUUGUUACACAAUAAAUAAAUCAGUAGUUAGUUUUGCCUUAUGAGUAGUUAGUUAUGCUGUUGGAUUAGUUAGAAGCAGUUAGCAAGAUAAGAUUCUUUCUCAUUUCUAUAUAAAGCAUUGUAUCAUUACAGAUUGACAAAUUGAAUAUACAAGUACACUUUCCGAUGGAAUUCUAUUCUUCAUCUUCUAUCUUUCCAUCCACCAUAGCUGAAUAACUCGAGCUUCUCCGCUAAGCUCCUGUCCAGCUGCUAAAACCUCGGAUUCCUUGAGAAUCCCUGCAUUUUGGCUAACAUUGGUAUCAGAGCCAUACGAAUCCUUGGCAGCAAUGGAAAAAUCAGCAAGAGCAAAUGAGAGUUCUUCUAGUGAAGUAAGGGAAUUGCGUGAAAUGAUGCAGAAAAUGUUAUUGGAAAUUGGUACUCUAGCAAAGAAAGUUUCAAAUCUUCAAAAAUUGGAUCAAGUGGUGCUUGAAAUCAAGGAACUAAUGGCAAGCAAUGGAGCGAAUCUAAGAGAUAAAAUACCCACAGGAGGAGACAAAAUACCUGUGGGUGGAUGGCAGUUAGAGCAACAAUCACACAGUAGCUUCGGUAAUCAGAAUUCACAUUACCCUCGAAGGUCGACAAUGGAGUUUUUGAAGUUUUCCGAAGAAGAUCUCAGAUCUUGGUUGUUUAGAAUCGAUCAAUUCUUCCAUAGGGAGAACAUUCCCAUGGAGGAGAAGAUUAGCAUUGCUGCUCUACAGUUAGAAGGUGAAGCUGUUCGGUGGCACUUGUCCUUUAUGAAAUACAGGCAAUACAUUCAACCACCAACUUGGAAUGAAUAUGUGGUAGCAUUAGUGGAAAGAUUUGGGGCAGAUUCCCCAAAGAAGCUGGUUAGUUUUGAAUUCUCUAAUCUUUCUCAUUUCUACUCACAAGAAACUUCUAUCAAGAAGGCCUCAUAUACUUCCAAGGUUCCCGAUGAAAUGCCUAAAAGAGAUUUAGAUAUAGAUUUUCUGUUUAANNNNNNNNNNNNNNNNNNNNNNNNNNNNNNNNNNNNNNNNNNNNNNNNNNNNNNNNNNNNNNNNNNNNNNNNNNNNNNNNNNNNNNNNNNNNNNNNNNNNNNNNNNNNNNNNNNNNNNNNNNNNNNNNNNNNNNNNNNNNNNNNNNNNNNNNNNNNNNNNNNNNNNNNNNNNNNNNNNNNNNNNNNNNNNNNNNNNNNNNNNNNNNNNNNNNNNNNNNNNNNNNNNNNNNNNNNNNNNNNNNNNNNNNNNNNNNNNNNNNNNNNNNNNNNNNNNNNNNNNNNNNNNNNNNNNNNNNNNNNNNNNNNNNNNNNNNNNNNNNNNNNNNNNNNNNNNNNNNNNNNNNNNNNNNNNNNNNNNNNNNNNNNNNNNNNNNNNNNNNNNNNNNNNNNNNNNNNNNNNNNNNNNNNNNNNNNNNNNNNNNNNNNNNNNNNNNNNNNNNNNNNNNNNNNNNNNNNNNNNNNNNNNNNNNNNNNNNNNNNNNNNNNNNNNNNNNNNNNNNNNNNNAAGAAGGCAGUCUUUCUAAUAGCAGACGAAAGACCAAUACUAAUUGCAGAGGAAAAAAUGCAAUUUUUAUUCAUAUUGAUUCCAAUGAGUUUAGGUAGUUGCAUGUGGGUAGCCGUCCAUGUUCACAUUGCCAGAUAAAGUAUUUUAGUUUGUUUGGGCACUGAAGAUUUCAGAUCCAAUUGAAAUUGAGUUUGUUAGAGAUGAUAUAGUUUUGUUUGUUUCAAAGGAAGUGGUAGACAAAUAAAGCUCGUAGAUAGGGUGGAAACCAGCUAAUUUUAUCAUGAGUCUGCUCAAUUUGGGGAAUAUAUAUAUAGGUACUGUGAAUGAGGCUGACAAUGUCGUCUAGGAGGCUAAAAUAAAUUUUCUCUAGAUUCCAUUGCCCGUUAGUAGAUAGACUUUCAAAUUUAUUUCCUCCUUUAAUUUGUUAUAUAUGGUCCAAUUAUACACUCCAUUAACGUAGAAUUACUAGGUAACCAUCAAUCAAUUGUUACACAAUAAAUAAAUCAGUAGUUAGUUUUGCCUUAUGAGUAGUUAGUUAUGCUGUUGGAUUAGUUAGAAGCAGUUAACAAGAUAAGAUUCUUUCUCAUUUCUAUAUAAAGCAUUGUAUCAUUACAUAUUGACAAAUUGAAUAUACAAGUACACUUUCCGAUGGAAUUCUAUUCUUCAUCUUCUAUCUUUCCAUCCACCAUAGCUGAAUAACUCGAGCUUCUCCGCUAAGCUCCUGUCCAGCUGCUAAAACCUCGGAUUCCUUGAGAAUCCUUGCAUUUUGGCUAACAUCAAUCCAUAUGGAGAUCCUUUUACCAUAUUCUAGGAUCCAUUUAGUUUUAGAUCUAUAGAGUUCCCAUCCCGUGACAAUGUUUUUCCAUAUUUUACUAUGGGACUGUUUGGAUGCCGCAUUUGUAUAAAACAGUCUUUCUUAGUAUAUUUUUUAAUGAGUGUGGAUGUCUGCAAGGCAUCCUGAUUAUUGUAGGCUCUCCAAGCUAAUUUUGUCACGAGGGCUUUAUUUUUUGUUCUACAUUUUUGGAUCCCCCUCCCCCUCUUUUUUGGUAGGCUCACUGUGUCUAGAGGUGACAAAAUUAAGUCCAACCCACCCAACCCAUUUAGGUUUGGGUUGGUUAUUGGUCUGCCCAUUUGUUAGCUCAAUCUAUCUCAACCUAACUCAUUAAAAAUUGGUUUGAUUUGUAACCCAAAUUGAUUUUUUGAGAAAUCUUGUCCAAAUAUUAUUAGAAAACUUUUAUUUUUUUUAUAUGUUAUAUAUAGUUAUAAUAAAGAUUUUUUUUUAUUAGGUACUAAAAACUUAUAAAAUAACAAAUAAAGCUAUUGAACUUAGUAAAAAUUGGGCGGGUUGGGUUAUGACUCAUUACUAACCUGUUACCUAACCCGUUUUGACCCAACUAAUUUGACCCUUGGGUUGGGUUGGAUCUUGACCCGUUUAUUAUAAGUUUGUAACCAUAUUGACCCGCCCAAUUGUCACCCCUAACCGUGUCCCACAUUAUCAAAUGGAGUUUUCGCUUAGUGUUAAUGGUUUCCCAGAUGAAACUCCGCUGAAUUCUAUCAAUCUUAUUUGUAAUAAUUUUAGGAAGGCUAGUGAAAUGCAUUAUGUAGAUAGGUAUGUUGUUCAAGCAAGCCUGGGAUAGAGUUUUCCUUCCCACCAUGUUAAGGAAUUUCGUUUUUCAUCCUAUAAGUCUUGUAUGGACAUUAUCUAUAAUAAAUUGGUAAUCCUUUUUCGUAGGUGUUUUCUGCAAGAUUGGAACGCCCAAAUAUUUCCCAAAGGAUGAUCCUAUAUUGAUUCUCAUGGUUGUUUGGAUAAGAUUUCUAUGGGUAGUUGAACAAUUUUUGGAGCAUAUUAUUUUGGAUUUGGAAUAGUUUAUUGUUUGACCUGAUGCGUUAGAGAAAACCUCCAUGAUUCUCAUUAUAUUCGUGGAGCUAUUUGGAUUUUCUCUAGACAUUAGCACGAGGUCAUCUGCGAAAAAGAGAUGAGAGAGGUUAGGCCCCUUCUUUGAAAUCUUUAUUGGUUUUCAAAUUUUAUUUUGGACUGAUAGCAACUCCAUACACAAAAUGGAAAUGUACGGUGAGAGGGGGUCGCCUUGCCUAAGGCCUCUUGAUGGUUUGAAGAAAUUUAUUCUAUCUCUAUUAACCAUAACCGCGACGCUACUAGUUGUGAUACAAGACAUUAUAAACUCAAAUAAAUAAACUCAGAGUUUGUAAAAAAAAACUCAAAGAAGGUACAUACUGAAAACUACUCAACUUUGUCUAUCUAUGAAGGCUCUACUAUUACAGAAGUAUAUCAGGACAAGACCCACGACAUCUCAAAACUAUUAAAUAAAGGUGAAGUCCUUAGGAAUAUAAGAAGGCUCACCAAAGCUAACUGAAACUGCAAGUGGUAUCAACAAAACUUUUGUUGAUGACCCUGGAUACCUGUAUCUGCAUCAUAAAAAGAUGCAAGCCAAAUGGCGUCAGUAAAUGGAAUGUACAAGAAUGUAAGGGGAAUUCUAAAUCAUAAACAUAAGCUUGAACUAGUGGAAAAGAAACAUACUUACCUCUUCUCAACUCACUUCACUCAACUCAACUCAACUCGACUCAAAGAAACGUAGUUCAACUCAACUCAGAGAAAGUAGGGCUCAACUCAAUAAUAAGAGACUCAACUCUGUGAAACAUAGUUCAACUCAACUCAGAGAAAUAGGGCUCAACUCAAUGAUAAGAUACUUAACUCUGGAUACUCAACUCUGGAUAAAGCAACAAUAAAAUAUGCAAUAUAUGGAAAACUUUUAAAAUAGUAGAUAGCAACUCAAUGUAUUGAAGAAUACAAUAAUAACUCAGUUUUUAUAUAAAAAUACAAUAUAACUCAGUGGGAGAUUCUCUAACCGACAACCAUCACUAUAAGCUAUGUGAUGAUACAAUGUCUAGCCCACGCUGCUAGAACUGUCCUAUACUUUGUCAGGGUAUAGAACCUACUACGAAGUGGAUCCACUAGUCUAUGCUAAAAAGAAAUAAGGAAUCAUCUAAACAGUAUGACCCUUUCUACCCACGUUGGCUACAUAGUUUAUGAGGGUUGUGAGUUAUAUGAACUCUCCCCCUUAUCGGUGCUCAAUACUACUCCCAAAAUAUACUAGCUCAUAUGUUUUUAAAAACAUAACUCUUUAUGUGGUUUGAGAUUAUUACUUAAAAAUGUUUCUCUUAAAAGAGAUGGUACUCAGAACUGCUCAUGAAAACUCUUUUGUAAAUCGGUGUUUCCUCUCAGCUUAAAUGUAAAAACAUUUACUCUUGGGAUUACUUAGUUCCCAUAUAUCAUUUUAAAGAAAAAUGAACUCAAUAUACUCUUCCUCGAACUCAUAUGCUCAAGUCUUAAAACAAGUUUAUGAAAAGGUUGCAAAAGACUUCUCAAAAUAGGGUUCAUGCCGAAUUAUGGACGUGAACGACUCAAUUCAAGGUUUUCAAUAACCAUACAUAGAACUCAAUACUCGGAACUCAACAACUCCAGAACUCAAGGACUCAAUGAUACUACUCAUCUUAAGAAUGCUCAACUCAGAGGGUUCAUGCGGAAUUAUGGACAUGAACUACUCAACUCAAGGACUCAAUAAUAAUCCUCAUCUCAAGACUGCUCGAAUCAUAGGGUUCAUACAGAAUUAUGGGCAUGAACUACUCAACUCAAGGACCUUCAUAGGUAACAUGUAGUAAUCCCAUGACUAGGAAUAUAAUCUCAAUAGGAUUAGGAACUCAAUACUCAAGACUUAGAACUUGAAGAUACUACUCCUCUCAAAUAUUCUCAAAUUAUGGAGUUCAUGCGAAAUUUAUGGGCAUGAACAACUCGACUGAAAGAUCUCAAUAAAAAUAUAGAAACUCAAUACUUAGGAAUAAAAUUUCAAAAGAAUCAGAAAUUCAAGAACUCAAAAUCAACUUAUCUCAAGAUGUAGGGCGUGAGGUCAAACUAGUCCAACAGUAUGAUAGCAUUACAUACUUGAAAUAACAAGGUUCUUGAAAAAUCUUGAAAAAUCUUGAAGAAGAACUUGAUUAGAAGCCUUGAAACCAUAGCUUGAAGGUAAACAUUCAAGAAAACCUUUCUUGAGAUUCUUGAAUUGGUUUCUUGAAAUCUCUAUGGCCAAAAAUUAUGAUUUUCAUUACUGAUUCAUAAUUGUUUGGAGGAAUUUGAGUUGGAAAGAAUGGAAUUCUCGGAGAAAAACUUACCUUGAAGAAGAAUCUUGAAAAACAUGAAAAUAAUCUUGAAUGGAGUCUUUUACUUUGAUUUUUCCUUAGGGUUUUACCUUAGGGUUUGAGAGAGAAGAGAAUGAUGAAUUAAAAGAUGGAAAUAGGAUUGUUUAGGGUUUUAUAGGAGUUAAUAAAUCCGUUUUUAAGGUUUUUCUAGUGGUAUAAGGAGAAUAAAAUUGCCUUAUUUAGUAUUUUCCCGCAGCUAAAAUGGAACUGCACUACACCAGUUACUAAAAUGGUCAUAACUUUUUACUCAAAAAUUGAAUUGACGCAAAAUUGGUGGCGUUAGAAAGAGGAUUCAAAAUCAUCCCCACACUAAAGAAUUUACCUUAACACCUAAGAAAAAUUAAGAGUCACUCAUUACGACCUUAUACGCAAUUCAAGAAUGGUUUGAUCUUAACGUAGAAAUUUUCAAGGUGUUACAAUAAUUUUAUUUCUUCUACGAAUCAUCGUGUGAAAGAAAUUAGUGUUCUGGUCUCCCUCAUUUACCCAAUUAAUUCUCAAUUUUAGUUUCCAAAAUUCCUCCUCCAAUCGUUGGACAAGAUUACAGUCAUUGAUGAGCUCAACCUCUAACUGGAGAGGAAGGUGCUGAAUUGAUAGUUCAAUGAUUUUGAAAAUGAUCAAAAUAGUCCUUAAUGUAUGAGUUUAAAUUGAUUUAGCCCUCAUAUAUGUUUCUUAUGGAAAUGGUCCUUUAUCUAUGCUAUGUGCUUAUAAAUUUAGGCUUUGACCCUAAAAAAUCUAACACCCAACAAAAAUCUGUCAAAUUAAAUGGAGGUUUCCCUCUCCAAUAAGCUAUUUGCCAAGGUAUUGAUCUUUAUCCAGAAAUUGAAAUACCACCACUACCACAAAAUUUCACAACCGAAGUUCCUCUUUCGCAGUCUCCACAUAAACACACUACUUCCAUCUUCUUGAUCCUUCUAUUUACAGGCUUAGGAGUUGUUGUCUACAUAUUUUGUUCCUUCAUCAUUCACAAAUUAUGUGACUCAAGAACUUCUUCACAACCGGAGCAACAAGUAGUAGUAGUAGAAGAAGAAUUAAGUACUAUUAGAAUAGUGGGUCUGCAGCCGUCGGUCAUCAGUGUCAUCACGAUUCACAAGUAUAAAAUGGGUGAAGGGAUAAUUGAAGGAAUAAAGUGCUCUAUUUGCUUGAGUGAGGCUUUCAUUUUCUCUUCUGAAAAUGACAAUUCAACCAAGCUUCCCUGCAAAUACUUAUCAUACUAUGACAAAUCAAAAUGGCCGUGUACACUCAUUGCCAUAAGUGUAAUUUUUGAUUAUCAAGCUCUUUACAACUUAGAGCUUCCCUGAUAAUGGCAGCUAUAUCAUGCAUUGGUUAUUGUGCCGAUAUCAACCCCUUGGAUCUCAUAAACUGAAGAGAACCUGAAAGGAAAUUAUAUAGUUGGCACUUGGAUAAUAUAAUGUUGAAGUUGAAAUAGAAUAUUUAGAGGUCGAAGUUGUGUUUGACCAUGAAUUUCACUUGGAAAGAAAUUGAAGAUUUGCUAGUGAAAGAUAUUAAUUCACUAAAAAUCAAUUUUAACCAGCAUUUUAAACAUUGAUGGAAGAAAACUUAAUAUUUAGGGAUGGAUGGAAGAUGACAAAAUCUUUCAGGUGGUAGAGAAUUUAUUAGAGAAUGAAGCCUCCAUUAAAUUUGAUAGAUUUUUGUUGGGUCAUUAGUUUUUUUAGGGUCAAAGACUAAAUUGAUAAGCAUUUAGCAUAGAUAAAUGACCAUUUCCAUAAGCUACUUAUAUCAGAGACCAAGUUAAUCUAAACCCAUACAUUAAGGACUAUUUUGAUCAUUUUCUCUAUUUUUGAAUGCCUUCGAUGCAUCAGAGGAGUUUUCUUUUCUUAUAGAAAAUAUUUCCAAAAGUUAAUUUGUUCCAUAUCGUAGCAUUAUCUUUAAAGAAAGAGAUGGCUUCUAAUAUGUUUGAGCGUUCGACAAAAAUGGAUUCGAUGAUUAAUUUUUGAUAGGUCAGGGUAGGACGACCACAUAGAUUCAAAACAAAAGAUUCUGAAAGUAUUUUUUUUGUUAUGUCGGAAGAGAAAUAUAAGAAGAGGAUAGUGGUCCAAGUAGGUACGAGGCAGGUGGUGUACUUGCGCAUCUAGGAAGCUAUGUACCCACUUCUCGUUAGCUAAAGAGUGAUCUAGACUUUAUAGAUAAGGCUCGAUCUAUUUUUGUAGCAUUUAUUUAACCAUGUAUAUUUACUUCCUUUAAAGCCCAAAUCAAUUAGUCCGCAGUGGUUGAUAACUUCCCAGAAGUCAUUGGUGCGGGAAUUAUUUAUGGGCCUACCACCCACUUUAUGGUAGUUGCUUAGUAGUUCGUUAAAAUCUCCCCUAGUAGUCAGUCGCGAUCAUUUGUGUUUUUAAUUUGUUUUAGGUUUUUCCCACAUAAUUUUAUGAGAGUAUUGGUAUGUACUUGCAUAAAUAACACUAAAAAGCCAAUAUUUAUCCAUAGUACAUACCUUAACCAUUGCAUGGAUUUCCUAAUCAGUUGUUGUAAUGUCAUCCAGUUCCAAAAUAGUGUCGCCCAAAAAACAAAAAGUCCACCAGAUUUCCCUCUAGCAGAGACCUCGAUCAUCCUAUUAAAAGGAAAAUCAUUGAGGAUACUUUGGUGGUCUUGCAUCUUGAUUUCUAUAGUGACCUAUGCAGUCUAAAAUGUCUUUGAAAUUCCUCCUAAACUCCAUCCCUUUACCACCUCUACAAUUUCAUAUUAUUGUGUUCAUUGAUGAUCAUUAUGGGUGGGACUGGCAAUGGAGAUUGCCUCGAUGCCAUCGAGGGGUUCCCAUUCCUCAAGGUUGGGUUCAAUCACUACUACAUAAUUCUCUGUUUUCGGAGUGAAUGGAUGCCUUAUAUCUAGAGAACUUUUUAUUAAGGUCAUAGAGAAGAUAAUGAUGCAUCAUUUGAUGAAUAGUUCUUUGAAUGUCAUUACAUUUACUUCCCUUAGAACUAUUAUAGCCAUCUAAGUUUUCAUCAUUAGUUCUAGAAUACUUUUUAUUCUUGUAAGUCUAGAUUUUCCUCAUGUCUGGGACUACUGGGGGGAGUGAGCUAGAGUCUUGGGAUGACGAUGCUAUGUUUGUUGAGAGUUGUUGUGCUCAGACUCUCAUCCAUAGUUGUGUGAACUACUGUGGAGAACACUGGAGCAUUCUCCUGAGCAUUCAUCGGGGUGGUCCAUCGGCUAAAAGCCACUUUGGAUACCUAUUGUGAGAAGAAGAAGAGUGGAAACAUAGAGUUUUUGUGGUUCAUCAUCUGACCCAUUGGGUUGAUCAAGGGUUCUCCCAAAUGGGGUAGUGGUAAAAGGGGAUUUGUUAUGGGGAUUAACUCAAGGGUGGCUAGAGGACCGUCGAUAACCAUAUUUGGUUGUUGUAGGUCUCCAUUGUCAGCCUCAUCCCUUUCGACACUACUUGAACAAAUAAGGUCGAGUUUUGAACAAGGAGCACCACCUCCUGGAUUUUCACUAGAGUUGUGAACGAUAGUGCAUGUCCAUGUAGAGCUAUCUUCAAUCAGGAAUGGGGGAUGGGGUUUGGGGUCAGAGCAUGGGUGGCAUAAAAAGUGUGCCUCUCUAUUGUUACUGGAAAGGUCAAGAGAGGUUGGAGUGGUGCUGGAAAGGGAAGAUAAGAGUUAAUUGAUAGAGGGAGGUUGUUCAUUGGAGGUCAUGAAGUGUGAUGAGAGAGGGAAUGUCUCAUGGAGUUCCUCUUUUCGCUGGGCUAAAAAAGGAAAUCUUAGCCUUAUCUAGGAUUUUUGGAAGUUUGAUGGUGAUAAAGUUGACUGGGAUAUCAACUUUAUUAAUAAAUUAGGCUUCUUCUUUUUGGUAAUAUGGUACUAGGAAUACUCGAGUGAAAAUUAAUUUUUAACAUUAAUGCCUUAUCCGGAUAUGAGGGACCCCUAUAUUUUCUAAAAGUUCUGGAAUUAGUUUUGACAACGUGGAUUGCAGCCAUCUAGGGUAAAUUGUUUGUUUGUUUUAAUUUUUGUGGAGUUGUCAUUUAAUGUGGCGGGAUUGGGGGGCCAAGUGUGAAUGAAUUUUUGAUGAGAUAUUUGAUGUGGGUGCUAAUGAGUUGGUAUUUUCUUUUGAAUGGAUUUUGGAAAGAUUUUUGCUAAUUAGAAUAGUAGAAUUUGUAGGUAUUAGUGAAGAAGUAUUGGUAAUUUGAGUACGCCUCGUAGAGGUCCCUUUAGGGGUUAAUGUAGGCUCAUAGGGUAUUAUUGUUGCCGCCUUACUGCUACUAUUGUUUUUUUAAAAAUUAUUAAAAUUAAUUUUUAACGUCAUCAGGCGUGACGUCGAUGAAAAUGUUCUUGUGAAUUUCUUGGUCAACCAACUGCUGGGAACUGUUUGUAUUGAUGGUUGUAGGUAAAGGCCCGAUUGAUAUGUCUCUGUUUUGUUGUGGGCUUUUCUUAUACUUAUAGAUUUUGGAAUCAAGAAACUUACUUGUGUUAGCAUAAAAUAAAUUGACGCUAAUACCUGUCUCAUUUGCGUGAGUAUCUGUCAUUGAGUGUUUCCCAUGCCUUUUCUUUUGUGUAAAAGUUACCGUCUCUCAUGGUUCUUCAGUGGCCCCUUUUUCGAACUUAUUUGUUUAGUAGUUGCGAAUUUGGGUGCUUCGUUAUGUAUUGCAGAGGUAGUUUUUAAUCUCUUUACCCGUGUUAUCUUUCUUUGUACAGUUUGUGUUGAUAUGACCCAGUACACCACAGUUGGUGCAUCAGAUAUUGGAGCCUUCAUAGAUAAGGGGUUGUUUAUGCUGGCCAAUUGUUAUGUGUUCUUUAACUAGAAUCCCGAUUAGAACUUCAACGUAGAUACGUGCAUAUCGACCUCUCAAAAAAGAAGAUGUACACAUAUCUGUCUUAACUAGUCUACCUAGUUUAUUCCAUAUUAGUGCUAGGAUCCCCUAGUCGUAAAACUAUGUAGGUAGUUCCGGUAGUUUGACCCAUAUUGCAGAAACGUUUUCCUUGACUUCAGAAGCGACAAAAUUGGGGUGCCAUCUUUUAUCUGUAAGAAAAAAAUCAUUGACAAACCAGGAACCUGUUGUAAAAUCUUUUGCAUAUUUUCUUCCUUGAAGAACUUAACUAUAUAAUCGUCAUGGCCAAGGUCGAUUAGGAUGAUUUAUUUAGAGACCCUCCACAGGGAUGAUAGUUUACUCCUGAGGUAUUGAUGGCUAAUUGUCUUACCAAAAAUCUUAAUUAUGAUGGAAUAGGCCUAGGGUUUCUAAAUUCGUUCUUUAUUGUCUGAUGAUAGCAGAAUAUAGUCAUCUUCAUUAGUAUGGCUAAUAGGGGAGGCUUUGAAGGCCAACCUCUUGCCUGACUAUGAUGACGUACUCUGUUCGUCCAUUUUCGUGUCAUCAGAAUGGUAUGGUGCAAUUGCAUUAGAUUUGUCCUCAUUAUUUGAAAAAAGUGACAAUAAAAUGUUCUUAAAGGAGGUUUUGGAAGCUUGGUAUGAGCCUGUGAUGAUGGCCUAAGUUGAAACAUAGUGAAUUAAUGAUGUUCUGGCGGCCGCUCCUUAUCUGGAGGUUCUGGUGGAGUUUGGAUGACUAUGUUGAUUUUUUUUGGAGAGCAAUAAUUCAAUCCUCUUCUAAUACAUCGGUUACUUGGGGUCAUAAUAUUACUUUAACUGUUGUAUAGAAGAGUCCAGGAAGCAGGUGUUUGAUUCUUCAUCAACAUGUUUACUUUCUGGACAAGGGCAAGUUGGUCUUUUAUAAAAAUAACUAGAAAUAAACAUUUCUUCAUUAAAGUCUUUUCUUCUUGCCCAAGGUAUUUAUGGAAUUUCUGUAUUUUUUUUAAUUUUUUUUUUAUCUGUUUGAAUAUUUAAAAAUUACAAAUAAUAUUAUAAGUCACAAUAAUUAACAAUUUAAUUUUUUUUUUAAAAACAUAUAAAAAAGCAAUGGACUCUCGAAAUUUUAUGGGUGUCACAUAGAAUGGAGCAAAGGAAGUAACAUAUAUUAUUUUAAUAUAUCGUAAAAAUUAAUAUAAAUCACAAUAAUUAAUAACUUAAAAUAUUUAAAAUACACAUAAAAAAACUGGUUGACUCUCGAAAUUCUAUUCAUGCUUGGUUAAUUUUGAAAUUCUAUUUGUAUCGGGGAUAAUAAUAUAUAUUAUUUAAAAAUUACAUAAUUAGUUACUAUAAAUCACAAUAAUAAAUAACAUAAAACAUUUAAAACAUAUAAAAAUUUGAAUGACUCUCCAAAUUCCAUUUGUGUCACAUAAAUUGAGACAAAAGGAGUAAUAUAUAAUUUGUCUAUAUUAGCAUGAACUCCUCUAUCGAGGACUAAAUGUAGGAGCACGAGCCAAUAUAUGUUACUUUCUUUGUCCCAAUUUGUACGACAAAGAUGAAAUUUGGAGAACAAUUUUUUUGUAUAUUUUUUUAAAUAUUUGAAGUUAUUAAUUAUUGUGAGUAAUAAUAAUUUCUAUGCUAUUUUCAAAUAAUAUAUGUUAUGUUACUUCAUAUUUUUCAAUUUAUGUGGUACAAAUGAAAUUUGGAAAGCCAACCAAAUUCCUUAUAUGGCUUUUAAAUUGUGAUUUAUUGUGAUAUAUAAUUUCUUAAUGUAAUUUUCAAAUAAUUGUUCUUACUUCCCCUGUCCCCAAUUUAUGUGACACUUAUAAAAUUUUGAGAGCUAAUCAAAUGUUUAUAUAUUUUAAAAAUAUUUUAAGUUGUUAAUUAUUGUAAUUUAUAGUGCUUUUUACAUGAUUUUAAAUAUAUAAAUAAAUAUUUUAAGUUAUUAAUUAUUAUAAUUUAUAUUAUUUUUCACAUAAUUUUCAAAUAUAUAACAUACUAAAAGAGAAUGUAUGACAACUAAAUUAAAUGAAGAGAGUACUCUUUAACUAACUUCUAUCAAAGUCUAUCAUUCAUUUUUUCGCAUUGGUCUCAAUAUUUUUUUAAAAAUAACUAUGAUAAUUAUAUCAUCCAUUUCAACCAACUUUUAUUUUUAACUUAAAAGGAGAGUAUCAUUUCUCUCAAAUAUUCUCUUACAUUAAGAUGCAUUUCUAUGAAGGUUUUAUUAUUAGUUUUAGAUUUAUAUCAAUGUCUAUUUAUAUACUUGUAUUUCAAUAUCAAAAUCUAUUCAAGAUGUGAAUACAUCAAUGCAGAUGCAAAGUAGACUAUAUAUUUAUAUGAUAAAGCUGGGGAUUAUUGAAUUAUUGGACAUACAUUGACAAAAAAGACCCAAGCUGAAUAAUUGUGGAAAUUAAAUUUUAUUCAAUAUAAGUGGCAAGUUUGGGACACUAAAUCACAGAAUAUGACGUGUGCCAAUUAUAUUUUGAACGCUUGAUUAAAUAUUAAUACUUGUUCAAAUUAUGAUGAUUUGAGUUUUACCCUGAUUUUUUUAUCUUAUUUGAAUUAUUUUUUUUAAGGAAAGUCAAAGUAUUACAAUAAAUAUUUUCAUUUUUUCUGAAAAGAAAAUAUAAUUUUUUUUAAAAUUUGGGUUAUUCCUUUCUUGGAGGAAAACUUUAGAACUCCAUAAAUUGAAGACCAGCUCCUCUUUUCAUACCAGAACAACAAUAACAUUCACAAUGUAAUCGUUUAGAGAGUUUUGUUUAUGGAGAGACUGUUUAUGUUUUUUCAAUUAUAAUAUGUAGGUUGCUUGACCAGAUAUUUUUAGUAUACUUUUAUUUGUCAUCUAAUUUAUCAUCAACAUAAUUUGUAAUUAUAAGCUUCUACACGACACCAUAAUUCUUUCGAUCCCAAUAAUGUUAAGUGUCAUGGUUGAACUUGAAAGGAUCACGGUAGACAACCUCCACUAUACGUUAAUCACUAUAUAUCACUUCAACAAGAGAUAAGAUUUGUUUGGUAUAUGUCCACAACAACUAUCUACGCAAGUCUAUCAUUAUUUGUCCUGUUGACUUAUAUCCUUUUAAUGACAAUAAUGUUAGCACUAUAAUUCCAUACUAUAAAGAAUCUUCUUACAGAAAUAGAACAAAAAAAUCAAGAGCUUCGAGUCAAUAAAGACGGAGAAGAUUGACUCCCAAACCAAUUUGUUUUUGAGCUCCAUUGUAGAAUUCGGAUCUAACCAUUAAGUAAGAAGUGGAUGCUACCUUCUUUGGUCCUGCCUUACACACGUUAUUUAUUUUGCAUCUUUGGAAACAUCCUUCUUUAACUUUCGCCCUCCCAUACAGAAAAUAAAGUUCUUUCAUUUGAAGCUUCAUACUUUUGUGAAAAUGGAUUAAACUGUCUCAACCACCCGGCUUUCCCUUCUUUUGUUUGUUCUGGACCCGGAAAUGUCCAUUCGCUUGUCAUUGGGAAUCCCAAUCUAACUUGCUCGUGAUUUAUUAAUAGCAGGAUCAUUUUUUAAUCUAUAAAAUAAAACAUUUACUUGUAGUAUAAUAAACAAAUAAUUAAAUAAAAGUAGAUAGAAGAAAAUGGGGAUGAGUACAUAAUUUUCUUUCCAAUUAUAUCACAAUGUCUUCGAAGGGACCCGCCAAACAAACUUCCUAAAACCUAUUUUAGGUUGCAGGUGGAACGUUGUUGGGAUCUAUACACCUCUAAUUAGUAAUUACCACUUAUUCAUUUUAGGUCAUGGCUAUGAACAUGAAGCAAAUGUUAGUGUCAAAUGUGAAACUGAAUUCUGGUCAUGAAAUUCUGAACAGCACCUUCCUUACCACAACAUGAUGAAUUAGUGUCAACACUCAUAGAUGCCAUUGAAAUUGGUUAUCGUCACUUUAACACAGCCGCUGCCUAUGGCUCUGAGGAAGCACUUGGCCAAGCAGUGGCGGAAGCGAUACAACACGGACUCAUAAAUUAUGGUGCACGGAAACACAUCGGGACUUUGUUCUUCCUGCCUUAAAAAGAACUCUUGGGUAACUACUUUUCUUCUUUUUUUCUUGGUAGUACUUGAUCAUAUGUGUGAGUUUGUUCAACGGUCAAUUUGUGAUAUACUCCCC
rnacentral:lncRNA from 1 species